UUGUUUGUCAGCUGCGCUUGCACUUGGGUCAGGAUAGUAGGUGGAGGAGGUGAGCGAGUUAGGGGGUGGGGGUUGAGUGGAUGAGGAGAGGGUAGAGGUCGGCGGAGGAGGCCGUCGACCAGCACUCCGUUCGGCGGCCACUCGGCGGGGCGCGAGGUGGACGGAGAUGAAGGAAGAGGAGGAAGGGUAGAGGAGGGACUGGAGGGAGGGUAGAGAGAGGUGCGGACGCGUGCCGCAUCCCUGACCCGAGAGGGCCUCUUCCAUCGGUGCCGGCGCGGGGAACCCAAGCUAGAGCUGCUCUAGGACCGCAACGGCCCGGCACCGCAACCACCGGACUGGACGCCUAAACCGCCACCGGCCACGACGCCCUACCGCAAGCAGCCCCUAGGCGCCACGUGCCCAGCGACUCCGACGGCCCCUCCAGCUCCGCGGCGGCGGAGGCCCCUCCAGGGGUAGCUUCGCGACCAGUACGGCCGACACCACUCAGGGACGGGGCGCGCGCGUGGUUGCUCCACUCGGCAGCUACCGAGACGAGGCCCGCUGAGGCGAGGGCGGAGGCCCCUCCAGGGGUAGCUGCUGCGACGAGUGGAGGCCACGCCGGCCCGCAGGAGCGGCGCAAGUUAUUACCGCAGUGCCUUCCAACGCCGGGACGCCACGCAGUGCAUACUGCCCAGGAAGCGUAAGGUUUGGAGGAGCAGUAGGUCCAACCCUAGCGUUGUCCCGUCCCGUUCAAGCAGCUAGACCAAGCCUUCCGCCGGCUGGACUCCAUGCACCUGCGGUACUCCGGGGAGUAGCGGUUGCUGAAGGGCGUGGAGUGGUGGCGCCGCGUCCAGGCCGAGUGCGUCAUUGGUACUAAUUGAUGAUCGCGCACACAGACGGACUAAUCAGCACAUGUGACUCUAUGAUGAUAGUUAUUCGUGGACCUAACAACAAAUCAAAAGUGGUGUGAUAAUAACUACGUGACUUCUCAAACCACCUACUAUCUAAUAUUCACCGAUUACUUGCUUAGACGAAAUUAAUCUGUCAUACAUCGUCGUCGACAUAUGAUGAUUAGUACAACUUUUGGAUAUGAGAAGUCUAAAAUCAUCAAGGGUACCGAUUAAGAACAACUGUAGUACCAUUUUGUUCAACUUUUAUACCGUUUUGUACGUUGUCAUCAACGGAACCGUUUUGUUACAACUUUAACGUCUCCUUACUGUAAGAACUAUAUGAACCCUCGUACGAAAAGGUCCAGAAGUAAAACCGUCGUACCGUUGUUUAGAUAUGAUUAAAAUGGUAGUACCGUUAAAAAUCUAGGAUUUCUAUCUGUUGUAAGAAAAGAUUCAAGAAUGUACGGUUCUUUUG
rnacentral:rRNA from 1 species